rnacentral:lncRNA from 1 species
AAAUAGGAGAAAGGAAAUAUGAAUUGAUAAAAUAGAAACGUAAAUUGUUAAAUCCUAAUAAUAAAUAUUAACUGUUUAUUAUAUCUACAAUGACAUAAACUCACCAUUACUGAUAUUAUUCAGAAAGAAUUAAUUUGUUACAAAUAAGAAACUGAUAAUUUGAUGUUAAAAACUGCUAUUACUUACCUUUCUGUCGUGGUUCAUCCAUCUUCUUUUGUUUUGGACUGGUCCAGAUUGUCUCCAGCUACCUCUUCCACUAUAUUCACCGCGGCUUGUAGAGUAUCCGCCGCGGCGUUACGAGUACUCUCUAUUUUCCGAUGGCUUUUCUUUAUCCUCUUUCUUUUCCUUUUCCAGUGUUUCCUUUUUAACUCUUUCUUGCAUUUCCGAUAACGGAAUUUUGUCCAUUACUAUACCAGAUUUUUUCAAUACUAUUUGCAAGUAUGGAUUUCCUUCAUACGUGCAAUAUUCGACUAUAUUCCAUAUUUCCAUUAUAUUAUCCG